UCUCUCAUCUCCUCAGUCACUCUCUCUCUCUCUUCCUCAGCUCUUCCUCAGAAACUCUCACUCUCUCUCUUCUUCUCGAACGCACGGGCAACCACCAAAACCACCUAAAACCUAUACCAACGUCCAAGUUAAGACUACCAUUGCAACCCUGAGGACUCCACGAUCACGUAGACACCAUUUUCAGGUAAGUUUUGCUUCGGAAAACCCUAGUUUUUAAGGUCCCGUGUUUAUAUACUGUUCAUGAUCUUUUAAAUGGUUACGAUUUAGGCUAAAACAAGAUCACAGCGAGCUUAUUGAGGUCCCAAGGAAGCUCGGAGUGCUUCGUUGGAAGUUUUUGGACGUAAGAACACGGAGAUCGACAAGUUCAAAGUUUGGCCGGAGCUUUCGAGGCGUUUUCCGGCGAAUCCCCGGCGAGUUAGGAGUCGAGGUAGGUAUCAAUCUCUUUUUCUCGUCAAGUACUACAACUUUCCUUUUUGUUUCACUCAAUUUAGUUGAGUAUUGAAGAAGUUAUACUCAUUUGAAAAAUACCCAGUUUCCGGCGACCUCCGAGGCUUUCGAGACAGUUUCCGGCCAAACAACGGCGAACUAGGUGUUGUGCAAGGUACCAUUAUCUUUUUCUCUUCAAGGGCUACAACUUUCGUUUUUGAAUCACUUGAUUUCGUUGAGAAAUGACAAAGUUAUGGCAAUUUGAAAAACUGCCCAGAAAACGGCCGCCGGAAAAACCAGUCCGGCGACCCAAGGAAGAAGAAGGUGCUACAGUAAAAAUAAAAAAUAAAAUUAUUUUAAAAAUAUGUCGACGUCCGUGACGUCGAGUAGAUCACUGUGGUAUUCAUAUACCUAAAUUGAACACCGUAUGAGAAAGUUAUUGAAGAUUGUUGGUUAGGUGUUCAAAUAACGUUUUAUAGUUUUCACAUUUAGGUGAAAAUGUGAAUUGAUGAUCCGACCGUUGGAUCGUCACCAAACUUUGAUACGUUGUAAUACGUAAUAUUUGAGGAUUAUUGGAACUUACGGAUUGGGAAUCCGAGUUAGGGAUCUUCCGGAAUUGGAAUUGUAAGUUCAUAAUAUAAAAUGUUAACCGUCACUUAGUUUUGGAAAUUGACGGAGAUCCGACCGUUGGAUGGUAAUGAAAUUUUAGGAUGUUAUCCUAGAGAUAUAUUGUGGACCUCUGGAAGUUAUGGAUGGAUUUAAAAUCUGAGUGGCAGAUCUUCCGGAUCGAACUACGUAGUGACGUAUUUUAUAUAAGUUAUAUAUUCUAUCGAUAUGAAUUCUGAGGUUGGAUUUGAUUACUAUUCUAGGCGGCGAUCGUCGUGACGCCUUGAUGUGUGGUGCUAGGGAGUUGUUGGACGAACUCCAGGUGAGUGGGCAGUUUUGUUUUCCGUAUAUAUAUAUAUACUUAACGUUUUUCCCAGAAAUUGAAAAUGCAUGAAAUUAUGUUUAAAAUGAAAUGCAUAUGAGUUAUGUGGAAAAACGGGAAGUGAAAUACCAUGCAUAGAAUUGAUAUGAAAAGUAUAUAGAAAUGUGAGUUGAAAUGCCAUGCAUGAAUUAAUAUAUGAUGCAUAUGUAUGAAUUUGGUGCGGUGGACGCACAGGUAAGAAUUGAUUUAUGAUGCAUAUGUAUGAAAUGGUGCGGUGGACGCACAGAUGAGUAUUUAAUUACUGUUAUGAUGAUGAUGAUAUAUAUUGAGCUCAAAUCCUGCACCAUGGUUUAGUGCUUAUAGUAUUCACCGCAUCGCACGCUCGCCUUGGAUCCAAGUAGAUGCUAGUCGUACAGUCCACGCGGAGUGGGUACGACAGACCAGUCGCGAGAGUGUUAGUGAGAUUCCGACUGGUGGGUGACCUUAGAUUAUGUGCACAGAUGAUUUAUGAGAAGCACUAGAGCGUAACUUGUGUGUAGAAGGCCGGACGGGUCACAGAGGUGACUCCGGUAGAGUGAUAAUGAUAGAUUUUGAGCUCUAGGUUCAACCGUAUAGGGCUAUUAGAGGGCCUACGGUUGAUUACUUUCUUGCACCUGAUAUGAUUAUGUUGAUGCAUUCAUACCUUAUUACUGUUGAGAUGAUGUGGCAUGGCAUAAUUAAUAUGAGAAAUGUUGAGAUGACAUGGCAUGGCAUGAUUGAUAAAGAGAUAAUGUUGAGAUAGUAAAAAUGAAGUUUUGAGAAUAUAUAUGUAUAUUUAUAUUUUACAUUUCUGGGAAAGUAUACAGGUUUUACGGAGAGGGGUUACAACGUUUUGAGAAAUGUUUGGAUUUGGAAAAGAAUUGUUUUACUGACCCACUCAAUUUUGGUUUUGCGCCCCUCCAGGUUCAGGAAUCACAAAGGUGUGGUGACUACGAGGAAUUCGACCGGACGGUUUGUUCUGACAGAUUGGACAAAAUUAGGACUCACCUUCGGGUGUAUCAAUUUAAAUUGUAUCUUAAAGCUUCCGUACUGUGCAAAUGGUUACGUCACUCUCACGUGACGGCCAGCAUGUCCUCCUUCGGGACGGGGUGUGUCAGUUGGUAUCAGAGCAUGGUUGCAAUCUUGGACAUCUUGAGAAGUUUCUAGUGAAUUCUGUCAGAACUACACCGCCUCGUAGCAAGCCACUUAGUUAGAGGAAUUUAGUCUCCCUAAUAUAGCGGUUUAGGGGAAACUAUUAUUAUGGUGAUUCAGUCUAUUAUAAAAAGGGACAUUUUAAGACGGGUUAUGAGUUGAAUUUGAAUCACCUUAUGAAAUGAUGAACCUGAGGGAACGAAGUAACGGUUUAACCAUUUGGAAAAGAUGUUUCAGAUUAUGCAAGUCAAAGGAAAUUUCCUUCUGACAGGGGGUCGAGACGACUACCUAGUUUUGGGUAUGAAUUUGUAUCCUGGUGGAAACAGGAGUAUGAUGUGUUGUCACCGGAGGAACAGCUGAUUUAAAAUUGUUUAAGGACUUGUUUAAGGAAAAGUUUAUCCCUCCGGCAUUUAUCGAUGGUAGUAAACAAGAGUUUACAAAUAUGAGACAAGGAAGGUGAUGAUCGAGGGAUAUUAUAGAAAGUUUUCAGACUUGCCUCGUUCCAUCCAGAUAUGGUUGUUAAUUUGGUGGAGGUGUUAUGUUGUUUUAAGCUGGGUGGCAAAAAGGGAAGUGGUAUUUUGGGUGACCACUAUCCAUUAUACUUCUUACCAGGAAUAUACGAGAUGCUGUUGAGUCUUGAGGACUCUGAGAACAUGAUCAACGAGAAUAAAGAAGAAUAAGAAAUGAAUGGGAAUUAAAAGAAGACGAUAAAGUUAAUGAUUCGUCUUAUCAAGGAUAUAGAAAGAUUCAGAGCUUCGAAAGAAGUGAAGCUAGAGUUAAUUCUUCCAGCUGAGGUUUUAAUGUCGCUGGUCAGAGUAAAAGUGAUGGAUAUACUGGUAAUCCCAGAUAUUUGAGACAAGGUGUCUCGAGUAAAGGAAAUGUACUUUGUGCUGCAGGUACAAAAAUUAACACUUUGGGAAGUGUGAAAUUAAUGAAUGUGUUUAUGUGAACAGAGGGGACACAGAAUUGUGAAUCGUCCCUAGAAUCAGUUGUACCCAACAGUUUUCUAUGACAUCGUAGUGUCGAUUCAACAAGUUUAUGAACUUAGUAGUUUGGUCGGAUUGACCGUGGGUACAGAGAGAUUGAUGAGUUAUAUGUUCAGCUGUACAGACCAUGAGAGGUGGAUCUGGCUGACGCAUGAGAAAUUGGUGAGUUAUAGGCUCGGCCGUACCGACCACGCGGAGUGGAUCCGGCCGACGUAUUAUUGAGAUAAGAGUUGAAUCAACCGUAUUGGUCAUUCUAGUUGACUUCGGCUGAUAUAUUUCUUAUUAUGUAUGUUAUUACCUAGAGAGUAGUAAAUAAAUGUAGUAGAGACGAGUGUAUGUAUUUUGUAUUGAGUGACAAAAUAGUAAUGUUAUAUCUUUGAGAGUGGUUGCCUACUUAUCGAGACAACGAUGAUUUAUCAGUAUUGCGGGCUGCAGACCGUAAUAUUAAUAACUCAUUCGUGGAUUCGUUAAGUAAGUAAACCGGUAGAUUAUUUUGUACUUAUUCAGAAUGCUUAGUAGUAAUAGAGUAUGUAUUGUGUCGGUUAAAUUAUUUCCAUUAGAUUGGUUGGUUAUAAUUGUGACAAGACGGAAUGUUAAGGGAAACCAGUACUUUCCAUCGAUCUGGAUGACCAGAGAUUACUUUUGUAAGUAUGCAAAGUGGAUUGAGUUCAGCCAUUAUUUAUGCUGUGAGAGCAAGAGAUUGUUUUCGAAAGGCUGUCAAAAAUACUUAGCUCAUGUGGUGCUAAAUGAUGUUGUUUGGAGUAGUGUGAAUAAUGUCGAAAGAGUUAGACUUUUCUUGAUGUCUUCCCUGAAAGUAUACCUGGAUUGCCUUCGGGCAGAGAUAUGAGGUUCACUAUUGAAUUGUUGCCAGGUAUAAAUUUAUAUUGGAGAUUGGUUCAUAAUGAGUUAAGGGAAUUGGAAAUUUAGUUGAAAGAAUUGGUUGAUAAAAGUUUCAUUCAACCUAGUACAACACCUUUGAGGAGCACCAGUUUGUUGGUGAGAAAGAAAAUGGACUUAGAGAUUGUUCAUUGAUUAUAGACAAUGGAACUGGUAACGAUCGAGAACCGUUAUCCAUGAUAGUGUACUGAUGUUUAUUUAACCAGCUCAGAAGUAAUUGCGAAGAUUCAAAGAUUGAAUUGAGAUCUGGUUACUACCAAUUGAAUAUUAUAAGUGACGUUGAUCAUAAGAUGGUUUCUGGACUUGUUAUGGUCCUUAUAAAGUUUGGUGAUGCUAUGUGGAUACUCAUGCGGUUUUAUGAGUUGAUGGAUGAAGUAUUCCAAUAAUGCCUUGAUAAUUGAUAUCAUUUUCAUUGAAGAUAUUCUGGCAUAUUCUGAGCCAGAGCAGAGCAUGUAAACGUAUUAAGUCGGUAGAACAAAGAUUGGAAGAAUGUCGAUUGUAUGCUAAGUUUAGCAAAUGCGAAUGUUGGAUGAAUCAAGCAGCAUUUCUGGGAUAUGUUAUAUAUUCUUAAGGUAUUCAAGUGAAUCCUUAAAAGGUAACAGAAAUUAAAAUUUGGAACAACCACGAGUCGUAAUUGAGAUUUGGAAUUUCUUAGCUUACCAGGCUAUCUUGGAUGGUUGUGAAAGAUUUUUCAGUCAUUGCUUUGUCAUUGACGAGACUGUUGAGAAAAGAGGUUAGGUAUGAGUGGGAAGGAAUUGUAAGCAAAGGAUUCAACAACUGAAGUAUUUCCUCACUCAUGCACGUAUUUUGGUAUUCCCAGAGAAUAGUGGUAAUCAUAAAUUUUUUAGUGAUGUUUCUUGAAUGGUAUUGGAGGCAUGUUGAUGCAAAUGUUAGGGUGAUUGCAUACGUUUCACGAUAAAUGGAAUCUCAUAAGAUGAAUUACCCUACUGGUGAUUUGGAAGUCACGAUUACCAUUCUUGCUGUGAAGUUAUGGAGACAUUAUAUUUUAGUGGGAAUGCAAGAUUUUUUUUUACGAAUCCAAAAAGUCUUCAAUAUCCAUUACUUGGAAGGAAUUUGAUAUGAGGCAGCGAAAGUGAAUUGUAUUGCUUAAUGAACAUGAUUGUACGAUCAGGGUGAUCGUAAAGUUUGUUUUAGCUGAAGCACUUGGUGAGAAGACUACAGUAAGAUUAAUAUCUGGCACGUUUGCCAAGAGUAUCAUUUUGUGGAUUGAAAACCAACGGAAGAAAAAUUAAGAAUGGAAGAUCGAGAAGAAGUUAUACUUGUUAAGUAACAAGUUAGUACAUUUACCCCAUUGUUGAGUAACAACCUUUCCCAGACAGUGCAACACUACUUAUUUGUUUUAUGGAAAAGAGAAUUGGAUUACGGAACUGCUAAGUUUCUUAAGUAUGUUGGUUGUGCAGUUUCCGAAGUAACGCCAUAAGGACCAUGAAAUGUGUCACGUGAGUCGGUUUUUGAUGACUUGUGAAUGGAAUGUUUCUGGGUAGAGAAAGAUUCGAUCGAGAAAGAGUUUUAGUAGACCCUGAGACUAUGGAUGAGUCUCCUCAAAGUAUUCAGGUGAUUAAGUUAACCUGAAGUAACCAGGAAUGGCAAAAGAGAUCAACAGAUGGAUAUGCCACUAAUCAAGUGUGUAAGGUAAAUGGUUUGAUAUUUUUGGAAAAUUCACCACGAACAGAAAUGAAAAGAAUUGGAAAAGAGACAAGAUAAGAUUUAAACACAUCAGACCGUUUUGAUCAUUAAAAGAAUCAAUGAAGUUGCAUAUAAGUUUGUGAUGCCUUCAAAAAUUGGCUAAGGUGCAUAAUGCAUUAUAUUUCGAUGCGUUGUCACUAGGUGGCAGAUUCGUCACAUGGGAUUCUGGUGCAACUAUUUAGAAUUCAAUUGGAUUCGACUUGAUAAGGAACCAAGGACUACUUUGGAUUGGGAAAAGAAGGUCCUGAGAAUUAAGACAGAGUAAGUGGUAAAACCUUGUGAAGGAAAUCAUUCAGUAGAAAAUUAUGUGGGAGAAAGAGAAACGGAUGAGAGAGAUUUACCCGAAGCUAUUGUUGGAGUAUGGUUGAUUUAGUUGAUUGCUGGAAUUUCGGGGACGAAAUUCUAUAAGGAGGGAAGAUUGUCACAGCCCGUCCUGGAAUUUUAAUUCCGAGGACGUGAAAAGACGAAAAUGCCCUUAAACGGGAUUAAGGUGCGUAAUUUUGGUAUUGGUUUUACCUAAAAUUCCUAAGUUAUUGUUAAUUAAACUUAAACUUGGACUAAUAAUUUUGUGUUUGGACUUUAGGUAGGGUCCUACACCCUAAAUCCCUCCCAUUUCCCGUUUGUUGUCUCUCUCUCAUCUCCUCAGUCACUCUCUCUCUCUCUUCCUCAGCUCUUCCUCAGAAACUCUCACUCUCUCUCUUCUUCUCGAACGCACGGGCAACCACCAAAACCACCUAAAACCUAUACCAACGUCCAAGUUAAGACUACCAUUGCAACCCUGAGGACUCCACGAUCACGUAGACACCAUUUUCAGGUAAGUUUUGCUUCGGAAAACCCUAGUUUUUAAGGUCCCGUGUUUAUAUACUGUUCAUGAUCUUUUAAAUGGUUACGAUUUAGGCUAAAACAAGAUCACAGCGAGCUUAGUGAGGUCCCAAGGAAGCUCGGAGUGCUUCGUUGGAAGUUUUUGGACGUAAGAACACGGAGAUCGACAAGUUCAAAGUUUGGCCGGAGCUUUCGAGGCGUUUUCCGGCGAAUCCCCGGCGAGUUAGGAGUCGAGGUAGGUAUCAAUCUCUUUGUCUCGUCAAGUACUACAACUUUCCUUUUUGUUUCACUCAAUUUCGUUGAGUAUUGAAGAAGUUAUACUCAUUUGAAAAAUACCCAGUUUCCGGCGACCUCCGAGGCUUUCGAGACAGUUUCCGGCCAAACCACGGCGAACUAGGUGUUGUGCAAGGUACCAUUAUCUUUUUCUCUUCAAGGGCUACAACUUUCGUUUUUGAAUCACUUGAUUUCGUUGAGAAAUGACAAAGUUAUGGCAAUUUUGAAAAACUGCCCAGAAAACGGCCGCCGGAAAAACCAGUCCGGCGACCCAAGGAAGAAGAAGGUGCUACAGUAAAAAUAAAAAAUAAAAUUAUUUUAAAAAUAUGUCGACGUCCGUGACGUCGAGUAGAUCACUGUGGUAUAUUCAUAUACCUAAAUUGAACACCGUAUGAGAAAGUUAUUGAAGAUUGUUGGUUAGGUGUUCAAAUAACGUUUUAUAGUUUUCACAUUUAGGUGAAAAUGUGAAUUGAUGAUCCGACCGUUGGAUCGUCACCAAACUUUGAUACGUUGUAAUACGUAAUAUUUGAGGAUUAUUGGAACUUACGGAUUGGGAAUCCGAGUUAGGGAUCUUCCGGAAUUGGAAUUGUAAGUUCAUAAUAUAAAAUG
rnacentral:lncRNA from 1 species